UACGGAGGGAGCUAGCGUUGUUCGGAAUUACUGGGCGUAAAGGGCGCGUAGGCGGCCCGCUAAGUCGAACGUGAAAUCCCUGGGCUCAACCCAGGAACUGCGUCCGAUACUGGCGGGCUUGAAUCCGGGAGAGGGAUGCGGAAUUCCAGGUGUAGCGGUGAAAUGCGUAGAUAUCCGGAGGAACACCGGUGGCGAAGGCGGCAUCCUGGACCGGCAUUGACGCUGAGGCGCGAAAGCUAGGGGAGCAAACGGG
rnacentral:rRNA from 1 species